GAGCUGGUGAGAGGGUAACUAGUUACACCUGUUGGCUGGCUCCAACCUACAGCUCAUCCAGAUUUUCAGCUUGAGGGGCAUGAAAGGGCUCACUGACACCUUUUAAAAUAUCCUGUUCAAUAUCCAGAGAAGCUGAGAUGAAGGGAGAGUGCAGUGCCACUUCUCCUCCACUUCCUCUGAGGUGGUUGUAACUUGAGACCCUGUUCCACUGGCUCCCCGUCUCCUUGGACACCAGCGGCUGCAGGGACUAACUUGUACCAAACACACAGCAGCUAGCCGCUAGCCCCCUGCUCCAGGCUAUGCGGGGUCUGCUGACCACAAGAGACCAGCACUGCUGGAAGGAGUUGAUUGAGAAAGAGGCUUUCAGCAGGGUCAGCUGGAAGGUGAAGUAUGGGCACAAGUUCCCCAGGCUAGAGCCCUGCAGUGGCCCCAGGAGGAAAUGUAUUCUACCUGCUAUUUGCCCUCCCAAGGAGCAGGAGGAGAGGCUCAGUCCCCGUAGGAUCCAGGAGGAGGGAACUGGCUUUAAGAAGCAGGGGGAGGGGAUAAGCCUCCCCAGAAAGCAGGAGGAUAAGGAUCAGGAACCCCUUCUCAAAGAAAUGAGACCUGCCACCCCCAAGACCAAACAUCUGCUGUACCAGGGCAUCUCCCAGGAAGGCCAAGGAAGGCACCUGUACCUGCAGGAGAGAAAGCUGAAGAAUCCUGAGGAGAAAUUCCACUAUCCAGUCCUGUCAUCCUGGGAGUAUGGCUGGCGCUUAGGCGAUGUUAUUACUGAAAUCAAGGCUCCAAUUCAUGCCAGGUCUGGAAUUGUAAAGGAUACUUUCUACAUCAGAAAUGGAGUCUUCCAUCAUUCAUCAAAAAGUGACAAGCUGUCGUGAGCUUUGGUGUUUGUUACAUACAUUAGAAAUGCAAAACUCCAUGCUGUUGCCUAGUAUGACUGGUUUUAUGUCAGAUCUGCAACCUCUGUCAUUAUUUCCCUCUUUAAUUGUUUCUGUGGGAGACAAGUUUAAGGUUUCGAAUUCAGAACUUGCUCUAUUCUCUGUAUAGUUUUAACUUUCUAAUGUAUUCAUUUGAAACUAAUCUUGUUUUAUUUUCAGGCUGUCUUCUGGGUUUAAAUGCACCUGCAACAUAGACCAUGUAACUUUAUUACUGUAAUAAGGUAGAAAACCUUGGAGUUUUCACUUUGUUUCCUUGUCUAGGUUAUCACAUUAAAAAAUUUAAAGAACCUGUCUACAGCUGAACAAUCAUAGUUCCACAGUGACUAGGGCAGAACUAAACAACAUGAAACCAAGUGAAAUAAAAUCUGUUCAGUGAAAGGGAUAAUAAAUUUCUAGGUAGUAAUGUCUAAAAGAUCAUUCGUUUAAAUAUUUUGUGUCAUUUUAUAUAGCAUCUAAUAUCCCCACAAAUAACCUUAGCAUUGACUGAAAUUUGAUAGUAGCAGGAAGUCUUUUAAUUGUUUUCAGGCUUAUACAUUACUAGAGAAACGAAUAUUGUGGAAUCCCUCAUGAUGAGCAUGUUCUUAAAACAAAGCAGCACUUCGCCUUUAGACAACUGUGUACGUUAGUGGUAUAAGCACAGACAUGGGAGCCAGGAACACAAGUUCUACUCUUUGCUCUAGUACUGACCGUGUCUCUGACUUUGGGUAAGUCAUGGAACCCUCUCUGCCUCAGUCUUCCUUCCCAGUGAUACGGGGGAAGUUCUUUACCUACGUACAUUGGGGGUUGGGGGAUGCAUGUUAAUCAGUGCUCUUAGAAGCACUUGGAAAAUGAAAAGUAGUUAAUGAUCUUUUGUCUUCAGAAUCAUCCAGUCUCAUAGGCCUUUGUUCUUUACCCAGUUUUUCUCUGUAGUUUAGUUAACUUAUUUUACCUCCUUCACCUGGUUUCCAGUUUCAGUCCCUAAGCUAACCUUUAGCAACUAGUUUACAGGUCUUCCCUUCUCUCCCAGGGAGAAAACCACAAGAGGGGCCAGGGAACUUGAGGGCUGCACAGUAGAAGCUGCAGUGGGGCACCGUGAUAAUUAAUGCUGCUUCUGGUUGCGUUAACCCGACUAGAUUUGUGCUCGGAAAUCUUCAGAUCAGCCAGGGAAGUUGCACAAGGCUUCUAACCCCCUGCUCCAUAUCUAGCUCCUCCCACACCUGGCCCCACUGCCCAAAUUCACCAAGCGCCAGGGGCUCUCAGAGGCAAGGAUAAGUCUAUAAAGCUGGUAUCCCAAACCCCACACAUGUUCACAUUCCUCCUGUACCCAUCCUAGCCAGGUUUACUAGAGCUGGGUCAUUUCUUCUCCUGGAGGCAGAUUGAACAAUCCAGUCCCAAGAAAUUUCAGUCCGUAUUACUGGCUGCAUGGAAUGUUGUUUUACAAUGUACUUAGUGAUGAUCACUAUGUUGUGUGUCUGAACAGAGUCUGAGGGGCAUGGCACAUUAUGCCAUGCUAGUAUGGCCCAGCUGUUGCAGGGUCUUCAUCUAUCUCUGCAUCUGCUUUCUUUAAGAACAUAUCUGCCAGUCAUACUAAACCUUGGAAGAUGAGGCUAAAACCUGAAGUCGAAAACUAUAUUUAACACUGCAAAGUAGCUGAAGAACCUCUGAGAGCCUGGUAACUUGGGUAAAGGAGAACAGCAAAUAAUAUUCUACAAGAAAUAGCGUAGAGCAGCUGUUAUCCUGGGAGCCCCCGUGUGGAAUGUGGAAUUCAGCAACUAACCCAAAUAUGUCCAUGUUUCUAGAAAAAAUUCAUUGGUACAAAAGCCUUGAAAUGUCCAACUACCUGAUUCCUAUUAAUAAAUCUUCAUUUUUUUUUUUAAGAAUUUCCCUUAUAUUAUGGUAACUCGGAAAUACGAAGGCACCUUUAACAAGCAUUCAUUAAUAUGUUCUGUGAAGUUUUCUGUUCCAAGGAAAAAGUAUGACUCUUCCAAGUUUUCUUGGCAUUGCACAUGCAUUCCUGGUACUAACAGGGGAAAAAACCCACCUCAGCAUUCUUUCAGUUGUUCAUUAAAAUGCCAGUGUUUCAGUACUGGUACUUCCUUGAGAGUCAAAGAGGAAGUAGAAUGACUUGCCAAACUAAUUUUUCAUCAUAAGUCCACACUAACAAUUAAUAAUCAAUAGGACUCUUAUUUUAAAAGAUUAUUAAAAUAGUGCCGUUGCAUUACAGAAUCCGUUUCUUGCCAGACAUCCACUUUGUGUUGCUUCCCAAAGAUCCUUUAGGAACACGCCUUUAAAUUCAUUUUGGAAUUUGUCAGCUUUGUAUUGUUGAUUUAUUUAACUAAAUUGUGCAUUCAUAUUUGUAUGUAUUGAACUGUAUCCAUUUUUUAAAAGCUAGCACUGUCACUAAAUCUAUUUCUACAAGGAUUUAAAACUCAUUUCACUCUAAUUUUGCUAGGAUUUAAACUUCAUAUUUUUCAUAACAAAGAGCCUAAUGUAUCUGAUUUUUUUUAAUUAAAAGGAAAAGUGUCUGUCUGAGAGUGUCAGAAUUUGUUUGGCAGUUCUGUGCCAUCAUGUAGCUGCUCCUUUGUAAGGCCGUAGUUCUGCAAAUACUUACAUGUGCUGAGCUUGAAGCAGGUCGGACUGGAACUCUCUGGAAACCCCAUGGAGAAGUCAGGAAAUACCUCAAAGUUCUCUUUCCAGAACUUCCUCUGGAUUUUUCUGCUGGUGAGUGAUGCUGCUUGUCGAAGCAGGGGAUUUGACUCUAGAAGAAUCCGAUCUUGAGGUAUCGACAAGGAGGUCGGGACUAUCUGAAUUGAGGCCCUGUGCCAUCACCCUGCAUAGCUCCAGUGUAAACAUGUGCAUAGAGCUUCAUGUGCUGGCUUCUGCCUGUCUCAGAAUCCCCUUGAGGAGGCUUCCACAGCUCCCGGAAGUCCCAAUACAGUUGAAGCUCAGUCUGGAUAUGCUCCUGAGCUCUCCAGCCCCACUGAGGGUCUAGGAGAAAGAGGGUUUCUAGUCCUAAGGUGGUAGCUUGUGUGAGUGUCUCUGCAUUGAGCUGCGUUUCCCAGGUAAUGCACUAGCAUGAUGCACUAUUUUGGGUUCACAACACUGUAGGGGAAAUGUGCUCAAAACCAUUUAAUGGGGGGAGGGGGGACUUUAAAUGCUGCUGAGAAUAUUUCAGUUAACAGGGUUGUUGUUUUGUUUUAAACAAAACCCUUUAAUAAUUGGUCAUGGUUAAUGUAUUUGUUGUCCAAAUAGACAGUGUUAACAGUCAGCACUGUUCUCUAGUUAAGUUUGGAUUACUGUUUUUAUUUGAGUUGUUUAUUACUGAUGGUGAAAGCCUGACCCCCAGGAAAUCAGUGGGAAUUUUCCAUUCACUCCAGUGGGGCCCAGAUCUUACCCAGAAUUUAUUUUCUUCGGGUAAUGAGGAUUUCUGCCAUUGCUCAUCAACUAAAUUAAGCAAUGACUCUGGUAUUUUGAUUCAACUAACAAUAUAGCAUGCUAAAAGUGAUUCUAAUCUUAAUACACUCAGCAGCUAUACGCCAUCAUGGCUAGUGUAUAUUUCUGCAAAUUGUUUCCUGUCUCUCACUGAGGGGGUUGCCAUCUUAAGAACCUUUGAUUCACAGCUUUAUUUCCUAGCUAAGCACUCCAUGGCAAUAAGAAAAUAGGGCAGGAGCAAAAAAUGUGCCAUCUUUGGUUCUAAUACUCAUUUAUAGCCAUUGUGGGGCUAGGGAUGCUUCAGGGGAUUAGCUGACCUAUUGAAGUAUUGAACCUCCUUGCUUGCAUAUAAUCUAUGUAAAAUGUAGACAACGUUCCUGAUGUUCAUACAAAGAAGCAUCUGGUGCCAUAAUGGCACACCACCUGAAAAUGAUAUUUCAGAUUAAUAACAACAAUUUGUUUUCCUUUUGUGUGGUCAGUUUGCAUGCUGUUUUUUUUAUAGGAAAUGUGUGCUCUAGCCAAAGAGACUCCACAGCUCCAAUCUGCUGAAAACUGUUACAGAAAUUUACUGAAGUUCCAAAACAGACAUUUGCAACAGUGCCACCAGGGGGUGCCCUAGUAAUAUAUAUUACACAAAUCUAAAUAUGUGUGUUGUGUGUAAAACAAACAUGCCUGAGGAAGAAACUUGCAAAUCCUGGACAGGUGGUUUAUUUACAGAGAGAUUAUGAAAACACUAACUGCAUACAGAUUAUGUAGAG